rnacentral:rRNA from 1 species
ACUCCUACGGGAGGCAGCAGUAGGGAAUUUUCCGCAAUGGACGAAAGUCUGACGGAGCAAUGCCGCGUGAGUGAUGAAGGUUUUUCGAAAUCGUAAAGCUUCUGUUGUAAGGGAAGAAUAGCAGUAGUAGGAAAUGACUACUGUGUGACGGUACCUUACCAGAAAGCCACGGCUAACUACGUGCCAGCAGCCGCGGUAAUACGUAGGUGGCAAGCGUUAUCCGGAAUUAUUGGGGCGUAAAAGCGCAUGUAGGC